rnacentral:rRNA from 1 species
AGCAGCCGCGGUAAUUUCAGCUCCAAUAGCGUAUAUUAAAGUUGUUGCAGUUAAAAAGCUCGUAGUUGAAUUUCGGGGUUAGUAGGUUGGUCAUGCCUCUGGUAUGUACUGGUCUCACUGAUUCCUCCUUCCUGAUGAGCCGUAAUGCCAUUAAUUUGGUGUUGCGGGGAAUUUGGACUGUUACUUUGAAAAAAUUAGAGUGUUUAAAGCAAGCUAACGCUUGAAUACAUUAGCAUGGAAUAAUGAAAUAGGACGUUCGAUCCUAUUUUGUUGGUUUCUAGGAUUGACGUAAUGAUUAAUAGGGAUAGUUGGGGGCAUUAGUAUUCAAUUGUCAGAGGUGAAAUUCUUGGAUUUAUUGGAGACUAACUACUGCGAAAGCAUUUGCCAAGGAUGUUUUCAUUAAUCAAGAACGAAAGUUAGGGGAUCGAAGACGAUCAGAUACCGUCGUAGUCUUAACCAUAAACUAUGCCGACUAGGGAUCGGAUGAUGUUAAUUUUUAAUGACUCAUUCGGCGCCUUAC